rnacentral:rRNA from 1 species
AACGAACGCUGGCGGCAGGCUUAACACAUGCAAGUCGAGCGCCCCGCAAGGGGAGCGGCAGACGGGUGAGUAACGCGUGGGAAUCUACCCAUCCCUACGGAAUAACGCAUGGAAACGUGUGCAAAUACCGUAUACGUCCUUCGGGAGAAAGAUUCAUCGGAGAUGGAUGAGCCCGCGUUGGAUUAGCUAGUUGGUGGGGUAAAGGCCUACCAAGGCGACGAUCCAUAGCUGGUCUGAGAGGAUGAUCAGCCACACUGGGACUGAGACACGGCCCAGACUCCUACGGGAGGCAGCAGUGGGGAAUAUUGGACAAUGGGCGCAAGCCUGAUCCAGCCAUGCCGCGUGAGUGAUGAAGGCCCUAGGGUUGUAAAGCUCUUUCACCGGUGAAGAUAAUGACGGUAACCGGAGAAGGAGCCCCGGCUAACUUCGUGCCAGCCGCCGCCGUAAAAC